rnacentral:rRNA from 1 species
UACGGGGGGGGGCAAGCGUUGUUCGGAAUUACUGGGCGUAAAGGGCUCGUAGGUGGCCAACUAAGUCAGACGUGAAAUCCCUCAGCUUAACUGGGGGAACUGCGUCUGAUACUGGAUGGCUUGAGUUUGGGAGAGGGAUGCGGAAUUCCAGGUGUAGCGGUGAAAUGCGUAGAUAUCUGGAGGAACACCGGUGGCGAAGGCGGCAUCCUGGACCAACACUGACGCUGAGGAGCGAAAGCCAGGGGAGCAAAGCGGG